rnacentral:tRNA from 1 species
GGUUCUAUAGUAAAAUUAUUAAUAACAUUAGAUUGCAAGUCUGAAGAUGUGUAUAGACACUGGAACUU